AACGCGAAGAACCUUACCUGGCCUUGACAUGUCUGGAAUCCUGCAGAGAUGCGGGAGUGCCUUCGGGAAUCGGAACACAGGUGCUUCAUGGCUGUCGUCAGCUCGUGUCUUGAGAUGUUGGGUUAAGUCCCGCAACGAGCGCAACCCUUGUCCCUAGUUGCCAGCACGUAAUGGUGGGAACUCUAGGGAGACUGCCGGUGACAAACCGGAGGAAGGUGGGGAUGACGUCAAGUCAUCAUGGCCCUUACGUCCAGGGCUACACACGUACUACAAUGGUCGGUACAGAGGGUUGCGAAGCCGCGAGGUGGAGCCAAUCCCGGAAAGCCGAUCUCAGUUCGGAUCGGAGUCUGCAACUCGACUCCGUGAAGUCGGAAUCGCUAGUAAUCGCGGAUAAUAAUUGUCCCGGUGAAUACCUUCCCGGGUCUUGUACACACCG
rnacentral:rRNA from 1 species